UACGUAGGGUCCAAGCGUUAAUCGGAAUUACUGGGCGUAAAGCGUGCGCAGGCGGUGAUGUAAGACAGAUGUGAAAUCCCCGGGCUCAACCUGGGAACUGCAUUUGUGACUGCAUCGCUGGAGUGCGGCAGAGGGGGGUGGAAUUCCGCGUGUAGCAGUGAAAUGCGUAGAGAUGCGGAGGAACACCGAUGGCGAAGGCAGCCCCCUGGGCUGACACUGACGCUCAGGCACGAAAGCGUGGGGAGCAAACAGG
rnacentral:rRNA from 1 species